rnacentral:rRNA from 1 species
GGGGUACUCGAGUGGCGAACGGGUGAGUAACACGUGGGUGAUCUGCCCUGCACUUCGGGAUAAGCCUGGGAAACUGGGUCUAAUACCGGAUAGGACGAUGGUUUGGAUGCCAUUGUGGAAAGUUUUUCGGUGUGGGAUGAGCUCGCGGCCUAUCAGCUUGUUGGUGGGGUAAUGGCCUACCAAGGCGUCGACGGGUAGCCGGCCUGAGAGGGUGUACGGCCACAUUGGGACUGAGAUACGGCCCAGACUCC